AAAAGUAAUGCGCAUUUUCUGGGAAAAAUAGAUUUAUUGAUCGUAGCGGUACAAAUGCUCAAAAUUCUUCAAAAUACUCUCCCCCUAAAUCAAUACACUUGCGGAGACGUGUCUGCCUGGAAGGCACGCUGAAACUCCUCGACGGGAAUAUCUCUUAGGAACGUUGUAACAUGCUUUUGGAUGUUUUCCACGGACUCCCAAUGCUUUCCUUUCAGCUUUCUCUUCAGACGGGGAAACAAAAAAAAGUCGCACGGAGCCAAGUCGGGACUGUAAGGGGACUGAGGGACCACCGGGGUGUUGCUCCGGGCCAGGUAGUUGGCAACGAUGAAGGCCGUGUGGCUGGGAGCAUUGUCAUGGUGGAGCUUGAUCGCGUCUUUGAUGUCAGCCCUCACGCGCGCGACCCGGCGUUUCAAUCUCUUGAGCACCUCCAGGUAGAAGGCUGAGUUGACAGUUUCUCCCUGCGGUACAAACUCAAAAUGGACGAUUCCUCGGACGUCAAAAAAGAAAAGUGAACUGAAGCCUUGGAUGCUAAGAAUUAAAAAUAUCAAGAAUGGAACUAACCGAAGAUUCAGACACCGCCAUGAGUAUAUCGUCAACAUAUCUAUAUUAAAAAGACAAAUCGGAAACCGAAUCAAAGCCAAAGCUAUACUCUUCAACUUUCGCAUAAUUAUAUCUACGAUGACGGGAGACAACAAAGAGUCUAUAAGAGUAAACAACAAUCUCUAGAAAUAAACCGUCAAUGGUCUUUGAUACAGUCCAUCGCAUAGUCAAUAGGAACGUUAGUGAAGAGACUAACAAUAUCCAAUGACUGAUUAACUGAAAUUAAUUACUCAACCGCCAAUCAUCAAGUUCCUUAACAAGUUAAAAGUUAUUUUUUAUAUGACUAUCCGCCUUAAGAACUGUUUUAAUGAUAGUACUAUGAAGAAACACUACCAACAAAUACGAAGCUAUUUAUCAAAGAAAUUACUAUUAUACGAAAGGGACAAUCCUGUUAUCUUUGAAAGAGGCCCUCGGAAGUAUCCCAUUAUUAUAUAACAAACUUUUAUAUGUGGAAUUAGAUAUAUACGAGGUCUGUCCCAAAAGUAUCCGACCUAUCUCCAUUUUUCGGCGCUUGGCUUAUUCUUCGUCAUCCGGUUGGUGGCAUCCUUCGAAGUAGUCCCCAUUUGAUUGAACAACACGCUCAUAUCGAUGCUUCCACUUCCCAAAGCAGUCUUGAAAGUCAGUUAUUGGAAUCGCCUUUAGUGCAUUCGUCGCAUUGAUUUCAACAGUCUUCUUGUCGUCGAAUCGGUGUCCUUUAAGCGGCAUUUUCAAUCGAGGAAAUAGCCAAAAGUCGCAGGAAGCUACGUCGGGACUGUACGGAGGCUGGCGAAGCUGUAUAACACUGUGUUUUGAUAAAUACUGCUGCACAAGGUUUGAUGCAUGCGCGGGAGCAUUGUUUUUUCGGUCAUUUUUAGCUACUUAAAAAUCCGAUGAACGUGAAAAAGACACUGUAAACAAAUACACACUGCGUAUGAACUAUACGUCCUACUAGUGUCGGCGACCAACCGAUAAGUUCGUAAGGUCCUACUGUUGACGUGCCUGCCCGGUAGAGGUCGCUAGAACACUUUGGCGCGAAGAUAUAAAUGCAGGUCGGAUACUUUUGGGACAGACCUCGUACUUUUCUUCCUUCCAACUAACCAAUAAACCCGUUACAAUCCUUCUCGUCGGAUACUUUUCAAUGACCUCAUAAGUAUUCACAUCCUAAAGUAUCUCAUUUAUCUUGGAAAUAUACACCUGUGUAUUCAAUGUCACACUACUCCUAUUUGCACGAGUAAAAAUAACCUGUCAUUUAUAUCUCUUAAAAAAAUCCUAGUGUCUUUCGCUAGCUAUAACAAAUUCCUAUCUACUUUCAUACAAUGUAGGGAAUAAGAAGCUAAGUUAUUUAAUACAGGAAGUGAGUGGUUCGAGAUUGAGAUCCAUUCAUCAAUAGGCAAUUUGUAAAUAUUGCUUUCAAUAUACUUAAUAAGAUCGACUGUUAAAUUUCAUCUAUUAUUCAAAGGUAAGAUUAUUAUUUUCUAAUU